rnacentral:lncRNA from 1 species
UCAUAUGAGCCCUAUUCUAUCUUUUUACUAAGAUCUUAGAGCCCCAACCUUUUUAGAAAAUAUGUCGCACCGCCUCCACCUGUCGCCAUGCCUUAUCCCCUAGGUGCCGGGCCGAGUCAAAGUCGAGUGCGUUGUGCGUCCUCUAGCCACUUUAAGUGCAUCGUUAACAAUAUCCAGCCAGCUCUUCCUCACUACCCUACUGUCGCCGCUAACCCCUAUUGCUGUCGCGCAUCCAUCAGAACAUGUCAGAGCUCCACCCGCCAUAGGGCAGAGCCUCGGGAUAAAGCCGAGCUCAUUAUGCAAGUUUCAUGGCCCCGAAGUACAUCCACAUCACAUAGCCCCAACAUCAUACCUAGAAUCUACUCCAAAACCCAGCCGUUAUGCUGCCCGAUCCAAAUCUCAUAUAUCAAGCAAAACUAGAUGUUAUAAUGUCCAACCAAAACCUCAAAUAUCAUCCAAAUCCUAGCUGAAAUGCUGCCCAAUUCAAACCACAUAUAUCGACCCCAUCUAGCCAUUAUGCCGCCCAACUGAAAACCUCAAAUAUCAUCCAAAUCCAAGCUGAAAUGCUGCCCCAUUCAAACCACAUAUAUCGACCCCAUCUAGCCAUUAUGUUGUCCAACUGAAAACCCCAAAUAUCGUCCAAACCUAGCCAUUAUGCCACCCGUCUAAAUCCUAGGAAAUCCAUUCUUAUAUUAUUAAAAUUCUCUUAGAAAUUCAACAAAUUUAUCCAUUAAUUAUUUCUAAAUAAUUAAUAAAACAUUCAUCCUUUAUCCGGGGAUUAUCCUUAGAAAUCUGAUGAUUCCCAAAAUGUCCAUGAACCAUCCUUUUCCAUCUUCUUUAGUCGUACAUUAAUUGCUAGAAAUUGAUUGUUAGAGUUGUUCAUUUAUUUGCAUGCUUGUCUGAGCCGAGGAUACAUUGACCGGAAGAUAAGGAUCCAGAAGAUGAGAAGCCAAAGGCCUGGCCAUCCAGAAGACGC